UGCCCAAAUACUACGGCGUCUGGUCCCCUCC
rnacentral:piRNA from 1 species